rnacentral:rRNA from 1 species
GACGAACGCUGGCGGCGUGCYUAAUACAUGCAAGUCGAACGCACUCUCGUUUAGAUUGAAGGAGCUUGCUCYUGAUUGAUAAACAUUUGAGUGAGUGGCGGACGGGUGAGUAACACGUGGGUAACCUGCCCUAAAGUGGGGGAUAACAUUUGGAAACAGGUGCUAAUACCGCAUAAAACCUAACACCGCAUGGUGUAGGGUUGAAAGAUGGUUUCGGCUAUCACUUUAGGAUGGACCCGCGGUGCAUUAGUUAGUUGGUGAGGUAAAGGCUCACCAAGWCCGUGAUGCAUAGCCGACCUGAGAGGGUAAUCGGCCACACUGGGACUGAGACACGGCCCAGACUCCUWCGGGAGGCAGCAGUAGGGAAUCUUCCACAAUGGACGAAAGUYUGAUGGAGCAACGCCGCGUGAGUGAAGAAGGUUUUCGGAUCGUAAAACUCUGUUGUYGGAGAAGAAUGUAUCUGAUAGUAACUGAUCAGGUAGUGACGGUUCCAACCWKAAASCACGA